AAUGAUCUCGACCUUAUUUAAACCCAGUGAACUCUACAACAACUGGAAGGCUAACUUGGACGCCAUCUUUGAAGCCUGCAUGAGCGCCGCCAUUGAAGCAUGCUUCCCGUCUCUCCGUCAGCAUCCUCUUCGUCGCUCCAUCAGCAUCCUCUUCGUCGCUCCAUCAGCAUCCUCUUCGUCGCUCCAUCAGCAUCCUCUUCGUUGCUUCAUCAGCAUCCACCUCGUAACGCCAUCAGCAUCCUCCUCGUAGCACCAUCAGCAUCCUCCUCG